AGCGAACGCUGGCGGCAGGCUUAACACAUGCAAGUCGAGCGGGCACUUCGGUGUCAGCGGCAGACGGGUGAGUAACACGUGGGAACGUACCCUUCGGUUCGGAAUAACGCUGGGAAACUAGCGCUAAUACCGGAUACGCCCUUUUGGGGAAAGGUUUACUGCCGAAGGAUCGGCCCGCGUCUGAUUAGCUAGUUGGUGGGGUAAUGGCCUACCAAGGCGACGAUCAGUAGCUGGUCAGAGAGGAUGAUCAGCCACACUGGGACUGGGACACGGCCCAGACUCCUACGGGAGGCAGCAGUGGGGAAUAUUGGACAAUGGGCGCAAGGCUGAUCCAGCCAGGCCGCGUGAGUGAUGAAGGCCUUAGGGUUGUAAAGCUCUUUUGUCCGGGACGAUAAUGACGGUACCGAAAGAAUAAGCCCCGGCUAACUUCGUG
rnacentral:rRNA from 1 species